GUGCCAGCCGCCGCGGUAAUACGUAGGGUGCAAGCGUUAUUCGGAAUUAUUGGGCGUAAAGCGCGCGCAGGCGGUUUGUUAAGUUUGAUGUGAAAGCCCCGGGCUCAACCUGGGAAUUGCAUUCGAAACUGGGAAACUAGAGUGCGGCAGAGGAGGGUGGAAUUUCAUGUGUAGCGGUGAAAUGCGUAG
rnacentral:rRNA from 1 species